AUUGUGUGAACUGUUCGAUAAGGGGAGUAUGAGAGGCUCUGAACUCUCAGUAUGGAGCACACAGUAAACUCUUCCCAAGGGACUGUGGAGUCCCUUAACCUACCAGAAGAGCUGGGCACCAUCAUAAAUUAGCUUGGUGCAAAUGAGCAUGAUAUGCGGAUGGUUCUGUGGAUGUGUAGCAUCUUCGCUGUCCAAGUCAACCUGGCCAGGCAGUGACGUAUACAUGCUGUUUGUGUAUUAAGUCUUUCCUCUGCUUUGAUUCUACUGUGUCUGAACAAGGAAACAGACGGGACAGAGGACAAACAGGAAAUGUGUUUUGCUUUCACUCAAAUGCUGACAUGCAGGGUUGUAAUGAGGUUUGUAAGUAAACUAAGCAGUUUAAAGUGUCCUGUGCCAUUUUUCAAUUUUAAGACAUCAACAUAAAAGGUGAAACAUUUUAAUGCAGCUAAUUUGCUAAUGUAUUUACAUUAAAAUCCCUU